UACAGAGGCCUCAAGCGUUGUUCGGAAUUACUGGGCGUAAAGGGUGCGCAGGCCGCGCGGGCAGUCAAAUGUGUAAUCCAGGGGCUCAACCCCUGAACUGCGCUUGAUACUUCCGCGCUCGAGCUUUGGAGAGGAGUCUGGAAUUCUCGGUGUAGCAGUGAAAUGCGUGGAUAUCGAGAAGAACACUUAGGGCGUAGGCAAGACUCUGGACAAAUGCUGACGCUCAUGCACGAAGGCUAGGGUAGCGAACGGG
rnacentral:rRNA from 1 species